CAUCUCUGGCAUCCCAAAGCCCUGCCCACGUGGAACUCCAGCCCUCCCCUGGCCUGUAGGCUGCACCUGCAAGGUGGAGCAGCAGCAGCUCCAGCCCCUCUGUUGCCUAGCAAUGGAGAGGCCUCGGUGCUUCAGACAGCCCAAAAUGCAGCUCGCUGCAGCAAGCCCCAUCCCCAGCACAGGAAAAGGCUGAGGACAUCUUUAGGAUCAGCAGGAGAGCAGGUCUGAGCUCCUCUGGGCAUUGUGAGGUCUGCUCUAGGCAGAGCUGGCAGCACCCACAACACCCCCUUCAGUAGGAGAUGACAGAAAUUGUCUUUUAUCAUCUCCAGGCUGCUGCUGAAACAGGAACAGAGACACCUUUGUGCUGAGAAUCCUGCUCUUCAAAAUAUCUGGCACCAGCAUCUCAAGGCAGUCACACCCAGGGUUGGAAAGCUCCUUUUUCACCACUUGCAGCCUGGUUUGCUCAGGAAAAUCCACAGCAAAGCCAGGAAAGAGAAUUUUAAUCAGGUCCCAUGAAGGGAAUUCAGCCCUGGACUGACAUGUUACUGAGAAGAGACUCUCCACAUCACUUCUGAGCACGCUGAAGGCUGCAGAGAAAAUUCUGUUCAGAGCUUUGGUCAGUUUGUGCCACCAAAGCAGAGCCUGGCGGGAAUGGCCCAUCAGAGAGAAGCACACAGAGCUCUCCACAUGACAAAGGAAGGAGAUUUUUAACAUCUGUGAGAAAUGUCUUGUUUUAAUGGAAUGUCUGCUUUGCCUUAAUGGAGUGUCUGUUUUCCAAGCUGUUUUCCAAGCUGCAGAGAACUUCCCCCAGCUCCCAUCCUUGCCCAGUGCCCUGCCAAAGGCUGAGGGCAGCUUUGCAUUCCCCCAGCCCUUCUCCUUCACCUUCAUCAGCUCACACCAACCCGGAGCAGCAGUGGAACAGAGCCAACUGCAAACACACGAGACUUUUACAUUUCCAUGGGGCACCUGGAGCCCAGCUGCUCCCAGGAGAGCUCCACACCUAGCAGAGCAUGCAGGCUCCUGCUCCCUCCCCACCCUCAGGAGCGAGGACACAGCACAGGCAAGGGAAGAGGACAAAGCCCUUUCAGGUGGAGAAGGCUCUGUGUCGUUACUGCUGCUGAAUCCAAGGCACAUCUGAUGAGGCAGAGCCCAAAGCUCAGGCCCUGAGGAGGCACAAAUGCUUCUAAAUAUACAGAGAGACCAACUCCCUCCUCUCCCCUCUCCCUUCUUCCCUCCUUUGUUCAUUUAUUCCCCUCAGAAGAACAAGGCGUCCUCCUCCCCUGCUGCCUUUCCACGGGAGCAGCAGGAUCUGGGGCCUCUGCCUGCAUUCCCAACAUGAAAAGCUUUUGCAGGAGCCUUCUGCUCAAUGAAACACUUCCUUCCUGCUGCCCUGCAUGGACACAGGGAUACCUGCUCAGUGAGGAAUGUGCUCUCUGGUAUAAAUUCCCAGGAUUAACGGAGCAAGGAGCAGAGCUGAGGGAGCCUGGUGCUUGUCAAAAGUCUUUUUUGGCUUAUUGAGUUUUCUCCCUCACCUCUGCCACUGAUGGCACAAAAUAAAAGUCUCCUGGCAACUGCUGCUUUUAACCUGCAAGUGCUGAAG